rnacentral:rRNA from 1 species
GUUAAGCGACUAAGCGUACACGGUGGAUGCCCUGGCAGUCAGAGGCGAUGAAGGACGUGCUAAUCUGCGAUAAGCGUCGGUAAGGUGAUAUGAACCGUUAUAACCGGCGAUUUCCGAAUGGGGAAACCCAGUGUGUUUCGACACACUAUCAUUACGUGAAUACAUAGCGUAAUGAAGCGAACCGGGGGAACUGAAACAUCUAAGUACCCCGAGGAAAAGAAAUCAACCGAGAUUCCCCCAGUAGCGGCGAGCGAACGGGGAGCAGCCCAGAGUCUGAAUCAGCUUGUGUGUUAGUGGAACGGUCUGGAAAGUCCGACGGUACAGGGUGAUAGUCCCGUACACCAAAAUGCACAGGUUGUGAACUCGAAGAGUAGGGCGGGACACGUGGUAUCCUGUCUGAAUAUGGGGGGACCAUCCUCCAAGGCUAAAUACUCCUGACUGACCGAUAGUGAACCAGUACCGUGAGGGAAAGGCGAAAAGAACCCCGGCGAGGGGAGUGAAAAAGAACCUGAAACCGUGUACGUACAAGCAGUGGGAGCCUCUUUAUGGGGUGACUGCGUACCUUUUGUAUAAUGGGUCAGCGACUUAUAUUCUGUAGCAAGGUUAACCGUAUAGGGGAGCCGAAGGGAAACCGAGUCUUAACUGGGCGUUAAGUUGCAGGGUAUAGACCCGAAACCCGGUGAUCUAGCCAUGGGCAGGUUGAAGGUUGGGUAACACUAACUGGAGGACCGAACCGACUAAUGUUGAAAAAUUAGCGGAUGACUUGUGGCUGGGGGUGAAAGGCCAAUCAAACCGGGAGAUAGCUGGUUCUCCCCGAAAGCUAUUUAGGUAGCGCCUCGUGAAUUCAUCUUCGGGGGUAGAGCACUGUUUCGGCUAGGGGGUCAUCCCGACUUACCAACCCGAUGCAAACUGCGAAUACCGAAGAAUGUUAUCACGGGAGACACACGGCGGGUGCUAACGUCCGUCGUGAAGAGGGAAACAACCCAGACCGCCAGCUAAGGUCCCAAAGUCAUGGUUAAGUGGGAAACGAUGUGGGAAGGCACAGACAGCCAGGAUGUUGGCUUAGAAGCAGCCAUCAUUUAAAGAAAGCGUAAUAGCUCACUGGUCGAGUCGGCCUGCGCGGAAGAUGUAACGGGGCUAAACCAUGCACCGAAGCUGCGGCAGCGACACUAUGUGUUGUUGGGUAGGGGAGCG